AUUGAACGCUGGCGGCAGGCCUAACACAUGCAAGUCGAACGAGUGGCGGACGGGUGAGUAAUGUCUGGGAAACUGCCUGAUGGAGGGGGAUAACUACUGGAAACGGUAGCUAAUACCGCAUACCAUCAGAUGUGCCCAGAUGGGAUUAGCUAGUUGGUGGGGUAACGGCUCACCAAGGCGACGAUCCCUAGCUGGUCUGAGAGGAUGACAAGCCACACGGGAAGUGAGACACGUUCAAGACUCAUACGGGAGGCAGCAGGGGGGAAUAGUGCAAAAUGGUCUCAAGCCUGAUGCAGCCAGGCCGCGUGUAUGAAGAAGGCCUUCGGGUUGUAAAUGACUUUCAGCGGGGAGGCGUUACCCGCAGAAGAAGCACCGGCUAACUCCGUGCCAGCAGCCGCGGUAAUAC
rnacentral:rRNA from 1 species